AGGAAGCCUUAGCAAUUUCACUUUAAAAUUUUUACCAUUAACUAAAACAAAUCUUUCUUUUUUAGGAUUGUAGAAAUCUAUAGUAGAAGAUUACAAGUUCAAGAGCGCCUUACGAAACAGAUUGCCAUAGCAAUCACAGAAGCCUUGCGACCUGCUGGAGUCGGGGUCGUGGUUGAAGCAACACACAUGUGUAUGGUAAUGCGAGGGGUACAGAAAAUGAACAGCAAGACUGUGACCAGCACGAUGUUGGGUGUGUUCCGGGAAGAUCCAAAGACGCGGGAAGAGUUCCUCACCCUCAUCAGGAGCUGCUGAACUUUAAGUGUACACCGUGUGCUCUGCAGAUCACGCCUCUAGUAGCAUUGGUUGUCUGGUCUUAAUUGUUGUACAAUUCUCUUCUCAAUUGUGAAACUCCUUGUCACUAAUUGUGUUUAAUAAUUAUUUAUUGCAAGUCAAAUAAAGUUAAUUUUAAUAUGGGGUGGGCCCGCUGCUUUGUUCCUGCCACUGCUUAGUGGCAACAUUCACACACACUGCCAAUAGUGUUGUUAUCACUGCCAUUCGGUAACUGAGGAUGCUGGGGAGGAAGAACUCAUGUAUUCUAUCCAAAUAGUGUGGUGAUUUGGUUCAUAAGCGUAGGAGUGUUGGGAAUGGGAGAAAACUAUGGCCAAUAUACUGCUUUUUCCAUUCCCCCGACAAAAGUGGUGUAAUGCUUAAAAUAAGUUAUUAUACAGCUCUACAAAUUCAAAGUUCACCAGGCUCCACUCUAAUCAUGUUUAUUAAACCGCCAGUAACACUUAUUUUUUUAUAUAUUUAUUUUUGACUGUCUAGUUAUAAUGUUAGUCACCAAGGCAAGGUGGUGGAUUAUGUUUUUUAUUUUACUGUGAAUUAAAAAGGAACAUUUCUACCUUCCGUUCUUUUUAAAAUUCAUGUAUCAGGAAUUAAUUCCUGGAGUUGUUUACGAGUGUAUUCUCAUGUCAACAUACAGGGAUCUAGACAUUUAACUCUCUGUGCCUUGAUGAGAAUAUCACACCAUUUGGAGUGUAGAUACCUUUGCCUUUAUUUAAAAGCCAUUAUUUUAUGAGAUUUAGUACUAACACUGCAAAUAACUAGUCCUCUACAUUCUACAUUUUGAAGUUUCUUGGGAUCUUACUUUGUGUGUUUCUUGCAGAUCCCUCAAAACUUUUUGUUAUCUUCUCAAUAGUUUUUCUAAGUAUUCCAGAAAGUUUUGAGUGUUCAUCACUUUCAGGUACAUAGCUUCCGUAAACAUGAUUUGUGGACUGCAUCGUGAGCUGCAUCCAGUGUCAGUGUGGUGUAGUUUUGGUGUCUGAAAAUGCACCACAAUCUUCUGGAAUCCCUGGAAAAUACUGGAAGCCCCAUACUGGUUUCCCUUGUGGUCCAUGAAGGUCUUGUCUUCAGUGUAACUGUUCAAGUGGGCCAGGUCUUUUAGUCUGGGAAGCUGUUGCCUUAUUGAUGUUUAUCUUAAAGUCUCCUCUACUGGGGCAGUGUUGGGCCAAAUUAAAACAAUAAAAUAACCCAACUUCCCUGCCAAAACACAAACACAAUUAAUUAUUCUUGAAGAAGCCUCUUAUUUGGUUGAUGUAGUGCUCCUCACAUUUAUCCCAUUACCUUAAGAAGAAUUAACCACAGUGAUUGCUUUAACUUGGUAGUCCUAGCUCUGCCACUGUGAUGCACUUUGUUUGGCUUACAAUGAGACAAAAUGGAAGAGAUUUUAAAAACCCUACUUCUGUUUCCUAUAUUCUUCUACACUUGGAGUUUCUAAAGUACAGUGGUGGUUGAUUUUGAGUUCCUUUUAAAAUUGAAGCCAAUAAAAACAUUAUCCUGCUUAAUAUUUAGUUAUUUACAAGUAGAAUUAAGUACUCAACUCAUGUUUGGUAUCUUAAAGUAAAAUCAGGUGUAGCUUGGAGGACCAAAGAAAUUGUUAGCUAUAAAUUUAUCUUUCUGAGAUCCAUUGUAUUUCUCUGUAAAUGACAUUCCCUUGAAGUGUUCUCAUUAAGGUCUAAUGUAUCCACAGGCUGUCAUCUUAUUGGUAAAUGCAAAAUAAUUACCUUGUUUUACUCUGGUCUGUAGUGCUUUAACAUUACCUUUUCAUAUCCACGAUUUUGGGGACUUUUAACACUGUUCAAUGAAAUUGUCUGAAUUUUAUGUGUGUGUGUGUAUUCCUGAAGUUAAUUCUAUUUAAAUUAUUAAAGUGUUAUAACUUUG